rnacentral:rRNA from 1 species
UGGGGAAUAUUGGGCAAUGGGCGAAGGCCAGACCCAGCGACGCCGCGUGGGUGAUGAAGGCCUUCGGGUUGUAAAAACCCUUUCGUGCGGAAAGAAUAGUCCUGUAGCGAAUAACUACGGGAUUUGACGGUACCGCAGGAAGAAGCACCGGCUAACUCCGUGCCAGCAGCCGCGGUAAUACGGAGGGUGCAAGCGUUGUUCGGAAUUAUUGGGCGUAAAGGGCGCGUAGGUGGUUGUGAUAGUCAGAUGUGAAAUCCUUCGGCUCAACCGAAGAACUGCAUCUGAAACUUCAUAGCUCGAGUACAGGAGAGGGAAACGGAAUUCCCGGUGUAGAGGUGAAAUUCGUAGAUAUCGGGAGGAACACCAGUGGCGAAGGCGGUUUCCUGGCCUGAUACUGACGCUGAGGCGCGAAAGCGUGGGGAGCAAACAG